rnacentral:rRNA from 1 species
UGGGGAAUUUUGGACAAUGGGCGCAAGCCUGAUCCAGCCAUGCCGCGUGCGGGAAGAAGGCCUUCGGGUUGUAAACCGCUUUUGUCAGGGAAGAAAUCUUCUGAGUCAAUACCUCGGGAGGAUGACGGUACCUGAAGAAUAAGCACCGGCUAACUACGUGCCAGCAGCCGCGGUAAUACGUAGGGUGCAAGCGUUAAUCGGAAUACUGGGCGUAAAGCGUGCGCAGGCGGUUUUGUAAGACAGAGGUGAAAUCCCCGGGCUCAACCUGGGAACUGCCUUUGUGACUGCAAGGCUUGAGUGCGGCAGAGGGGGAUGGAAUUCCGCGUGUAGCAGUGAAAUGCGUAGAUAUGCGGAGGAACACCGAUGGCGAAGGCAAUCCCCCUGGGCCUGCACUGACGGCUCAUGCACGAAAGCGUGGGGAGCAAACAGGAUUAGAUACCCUGGUAGUCCACGCCCUAAAACGAUGUCAACUGGUUGUUGGGGAGGUUCCUUCUCAGUAACGUAGCUAACGCGUGAAGUUGACCGCCUGGGGAGUACGGCCGCAAGGUUG